rnacentral:rRNA from 1 species
UAGGGAAUCUUCCGCAAUGGACGCAAGUCUGACGGAGCAACGCCGCGUGAGUGAAGAAGGAUUUCGGUUCGUAAAACUCUGUUGUUAGAGAAGAACAGCGCAUAGAGUAACUGUUAUGCGUGUGACGGUAUCUAACCAGAAAGCCACGGCUAACUACGUGCCAGCAGCCGCGGUAAUACGUAGGUGGCAAGCGGUGUCCGGAUUUAUUGGGCGUAAAGCGAGCGCAGGCGGUCAAUUAAGUCUGAUGUGAAAGCCCCCGGCUCAACCGGGGAGGGUCAUUGGAAACUGGUUGACUUGAGUGCAGAAGAGGAGAGUGGAAUUCCAUGUGUAGCGGUGAAAUGCGUAGAUAUAUGGAGGAACACCAGUGGCGAAGGCGACUCUCUGGUCUGUAACUGACGCUGAGGCUCGAAAGCGUGGGUAGCAAACAGG